rnacentral:rRNA from 1 species
AAUGAACGCUGGCGGCAGGCCUAACACAUGCAAGUCGAGCGGAUGAGAAAAGCUUGCUUUUUGAUUCAGCGGCGGACGGGUGAGUAAUGCCUAGGAAUCUGCCUGUUCGUGGGGGAUAACUCGGGGAAACUCGGGCUAAUACCGCAUACGUCCUACGGGAGAAAGUGGGGGAUCUUCGGACCUCACGCUAACAGAUGAGCCUAGGUCGGAUUAGCUAGUAGGUGAGGUAAUGGCUCACCUAGGCGACGAUCCGUAACUGGUCAGAGAGGAUGAUCAGUCACACUGGAACUGAGACACGGUCCAGACUCCUACGGGAGGCAGCAGUGGGGAAUAUUGGACAAUGGGCGAAAGCCUGAUCCAGCCAUGCCGCGUGUGUGAAGAAGGUCUUCGGAUUGUAAAGCACUUUAAGUUGGGAGGAAGGGUAUUCACCUAAUACGUGGGUACUUUGACGUUACCAACAGAAUAAGCACCGGCUAACUCUGUGCCAGCCGCCGCGGUAAUAC